CAGAUGUACAACUGCAAAAACUUCCCAUACUUAUGACUUUUGUAAAAUGGUAAUUCAUUGGGACAAUGUAUGACAAAAGUUAAUGUCCUUGUUCUUUUUAAAACAAGGGUUUAAACUAACUUCUAAAAGACCAACCCACCCUGCUGCCUUAACUGUAGUCCAGUUAGAAUUAACAGAUGUUCUUAUAGAUCAGUAUUUAUAGAAUUACCCAUUUGCCUUCCCUGAUUAAUAUAUCAGCCUUUUAUGUGAAAGAAACACUCAGAAAGACAUUCAAAGUUAUUUUUAAACUUGAUUCCUCAAUAUCUCAGCCUGUGAGAAAAACAAAGGAAAUAAUUAAUUUCUAUUUCUAAAGAGGGCAAGACCCUUACUUUUUCCUUUUGUUCUUAAAACUUUUUGUAAGCAUUGAAGUAAGGCUAUUAAACUUAUGUAUGCAUCUAUCUAUCAAGAACGUGUAAAUUCUUAGUAGACAAACAUUAACUGGAGAGUGAGUCUUGCUUUGAAUAUGUUCUCUUUUUAGAAGCUAUUUAGUUCCCCUUUUCAUUUUUGAGAGAUUUAAGACCAAUGAUAUGUCAUUAAAAUCCAAUAAAUCUUUUAUUCAUUCUGAUGUUGUUUCUUUUUUAAGAUUACAAAAUACUGAGAACCUGCCAUAUUCUCAUAAUAGUAUUAUACACAGGGGAGAUGCAAAGUAGUCUUAAACAAGUUCCUUGUUAGAAAGCAAACAUAUUAACAAUCCAAAACCCUGACUUCCUGUUUCCCUCUUAGCUGAAAUUCCUCCAGCAUUUACUAAAGUAAUCAUGGAUAUCCUAAUAGAAACUUCUCCCAGGAAAGAGAGAGAGGAAUCACUACUCUUUUUCUUUAAUGUGGCACUUCCAAGGCGAAUUAGAGUGUGGGCUUCCCAGCUAAUUGCCCUUAUCCUGAGUCCCAGAGAGCCAACCACCUUCUCAAUAACUUACAGGUGACUAAUUUUUCUCUUUACCUCUUCUGUGUUUAAACAAAAAGACAGAUAACCCAUUUGUAUCAAAUUAUGUGUGACAGUUUUGGAAGGGGUUGUAUAAUUCUGUGAAAGCCACACACACACACACACACACAUAUAUAAGUGCACAAACAAAACAAAACAAGACAACCCGCAGGGUGUUGUAUUUCAUUCCCAACACCAUCUUCAAUUCUGGAGGCAAAGGCUUUUGUAAUUUUCAGAGAGUUUCUGACUACUCCAUUUGCCUGGUUGUGAAGAAUUAGAAAAGCUUACUUCAUAAAGUUUUAAAGCAUUUGUAAAAAUCACAUUUCCCAAAUCCUACAAUUUUGAGAACCAGAUAAAAGCAAAAGGUAAAGGAUGCAGAUUGUAUAACAAAAAAGACAAAACAAGGCAAACAACAAAAAUCAUAGUAUGUGAAAUCAGCUUUAGUCAUUUGGCUGAUGAUAAUUUUUUCUCUGUCUUCAAUCAGCAGUUCAUUGCAAAUGCCUUGUGAGAGUAUGGAUACAUGCAAUUAACUGGUGCUGUUGGAAUACUACUUUUAAGAGUUGUUUGUGGUUAUAUCAUUUUCAUGUGUUUCUGGGUAAACAAAAU
rnacentral:lncRNA from 1 species